rnacentral:rRNA from 1 species
UGCCGCGUGCAGGAUGAAGGCCUUCGGGUUGUAAACUGCUUUUGUACGGAACGAAAAGACUCUGGUUAAUACCUGGGGUCCAUGACCGUACCGUAAGAAUAAGCACCGGCUAACUACAUGCCAGCAGCCGCGGUAAUACGUAAGGUGCGAGCGUUAAUCGGAAUUACUGGGCGUAAAGCGUGCGCAGGCGGUUAUAUGAGACAGAUGUGAAAUCCCCGGGCUCAACCUGGGAACUGCAUUUGUGACUGUAUAGCUGGAGUACGGUAGAGGGGGAUGGAAUUCCGCGUGUAGCAGUGAAAUGCCUAUAUAUGCGGAGGAACACCGAUGGCUAACGCAAUCCCCUGGACCUGUACUGACGCUCAUGCACGAAAGCGUGGGGAGGAAACAGGAUUAGAUACCCUGGUAGUCCACGCCCUAAACGAUGUCAACUGGUUGUUGGGUCUUCACUGACUCAUUAACGAACCUAACGCGUGAAGUUGACCGCCUGGGGAGUACUGCCGCGAGGUUGAAACUCCCAGGAAUUGACGGGGACCCGCACAAUCGGUGGAUGAUGUGGUUUAAUUCCAUGCAACGGCAAGAACCUUACCCACCUUUCACAUGUAUGGAAUCCUUU